UCUCAGCCACAACUGGAGCCAGAUGCCUGUUUGCGCAGCCAGGUCUGUACAAACACACAGCACAGCCAGAAGAAGCUCAGCAUCCAGAACAAGGCUGGAGCAGGUGCAGAUCCGCAGCGUGAGGAGCUGAAAGGACCUGGGAGAGGUGGGACGAUGAGGCCAUGGACCGAGCCUGACAGCACCUGUCACUGCUGCGGAAGGCAGCCAGGAUCAAGGGCAGCUUUUCAGGCCAGUUUUUAACUGGUGUGGUCUACCUCUUUUCUCAAUGACUUUUUAAUGCGUGGUGAGCUCAGCAGCACAGGUGACCAUGCUGAAUCGCAGAAUCGCAAUCGAGCU